GGAGUCCAAUGACAGAGAGUGAAUAGAGAUGGGUUCGCAAGGCGGUAGAGAUGAAGAAGAGGAAGCCCUUCCUCUUUUUCAGAGGCAGCAAGCCAAGGGAAGGGUUGCCUAUAGGGUCUUUGCAUCCACGAUAUUUGUGGGCAUAUGCUUGAUUUGGAUACACAGGUUCUUAUACAUCCCAAUAGUAGGGGAAGGUGGAAGGUGGGUUUGGGUUGGCAUGUUCAUGGCUGAGCUUUGCUUCAGUUUCUUCUGGGUUUGCACUCAGUCUCUUCGAUGGAACCUCACUCUUCUUUAUCCCUUCAAACACAGUCUCUCACUGAGGUAUGAAGACAAAUUACCAGGAAUUGAUAUUUUCGUGUGCACGGCAGACCCCAUCAUAGAGCCACCGACUCUGGUGAUCAACACAAUUUUGUCGGCAAUGUCAUACAAUUAUCCGAGUGAAAAAUUAGCUGUUUAUCUCUCUGAUGAUGGCGGCUCCGACUUGACUUUCUAUGCUCUCCUUGAGGCCUCUCACUUUGCCAAAUAUUGGAUACCAUUCUGCAAGAAAAACGACAUCGAACCAAUGUCCCCCGAAGCCUACUUCGCACACAAUUCUAAUGUACAAGACAUUACAUAUGCUCAAGAAUGGUCAGUUGUUAAGAAUUUGUAUGAAGAAAUGAAGGAACGGAUUGAAUCAACUAUGGAAAGAGGUAACAUUUCAAAAGAAAUAAGGGUCAAACACAGAGGAUUUUCAGAAUGGAACUGUAAUGUAACAAAGAAAGAUCAUCAGUCUAUUGUGCAGAUUGUUCUUGAUGGAAGGGAUGAAACUGCUGUGGACAACAAUGGGUACCGAUUGCCAACACUUGUGUACGUGGCAAGAGAGAAAAGACCCCAAUAUCCUCAUCACUUCAAAGCUGGAGCCAUGAAUGCUUUGGUUAUAUAGUCCUUCCAAAUUUUUGUUAUCAAAACUAAGAAUUUUAUUUUUUCAUUGGGUUUCUUCAUGAAUAAUUCAAUUAUAUAUGCAGAUAAGAGUUGCGUCAGAGAUAAGCAAUGGACCCAUCAUUCUCAACCUAGAUUGUGAUAUGUAUGUGAACGAUUCAGAUGCAAUUAGAGAAGCUCUCUGUUUCUUCAUGGAUGAGGAGAAAGGCCAUGAAAUUGCUUAUGUGCAACAUCCUCAAAACUUCAAUAAUAUCACCAAGAAUGACCUCUAUGCAAAUUCAUUUAAUGUUUUUAAUAAGGUUGAGCUUGUUGGCAUGUGUGGAUAUGAUUCAGCAUUUUACUUGGGCACUGGAUGCUUCCAUAGAAGAGAGAGUCUCUGUGGAAAGAAUUACUCUGAGGAUAAUAAAUUGAGAUUGGACAUUAAAGAUGCUAAAAAGAAUGAUAAAAGGACUGUUAAUGAACUUGAAGAAGCUUCAAAAAUUGUUGCUAGUUGCAGCUAUGAGAAGGACACUCAAUGGGGCAAAGAGGUGUCUCUCUUUUCUUUUUUAUUAAUGUGAAGUUUUGCUAGUAGUCAUGAAGAUGAUCAUAAAUUCAUAAUCCUGCACUUGCAGAUGGGAUUGGUGUAUGGGUGUCCAGUUGAAGACAAUAUUACUGGCUUGAAAAUCCAAUGCAGGGGAUGGAAAUCAGUUUAUUAUUGUCCAAAUAAAGAAGCCUUCUUGGGUGUAGCUCCUAAUACCUUAGAAGUGGCCUUGAUUCAACACAGGAGGUGGGCUGAAGGAUUUUUUCAGAUUUUCUUAUCCAAAUAUUGCCCCUUUAUAUAUGGGCAUGGCAAGAUAAAACUUGGUGCCCAAAUGGGAUAUUGUGCGAAUCUGUUAUGGGCUCCUAUGUCUUUGCCUACACUAUACUAUGUGAUUGUUCCUCCUCUUUGCCUGCUUCAUGGCAUUCCCUUAUUCCCUCAGGCGUCAAGCCAAUGGUUUCUACCAUACGCAUAUGUUUUCAUAUCCAAGAAUGCAUACAGCAUCGUGGAGACCUGGGUUUGUGGUGGGACGAUUAAAGCUUGGUGGAACUCGCAAAGGAUGUGGGUGAUUCGAAGAACAACAGCGUAUUUUCUUGCUUUCAUUGAUACCGCUAUCAAACAAUUACGCUUAUCGCAAAUAACUUUCGCCAUUACACCAAAGGUAGUGACAGAUGAUGUGUUGAAGAGGUACGAGAAAGAGGUCAUGGAGUUCGGAAGCUCAACCACAGAGGUCACCAUUAUAGCAACUCUAGCGAUGCUAAACCUUCUCAGUUUUGUUGGGGCAAUAAUGAAGAGGAUUAUUGCCUCAGAGAUAGAUUUCAAUACUACAGAAAUGUUGAUCCCUCAGGUUAUUCUCUGCGUACUUGUGAUUAUGGUUAACUUGCCGGUGUACCAAGCUCUCUUCUCCCGCAAUGAUGAGGGACGCAUACCACAAGAUACAUUAGAUUUUUACCAAAAUAAAAAUCCCAAGGGGCUUCAGUGUCCACGAUUCAUUCCUUGGUCCUAUCGCUGGCCAGAAAGAUCUACUACACGUGGAGCCAAAUCAACAUGCCACGUCCGAUAAAUAUAGUUGUAUUGAAGCGCAGAGUAUCGGAGCCCAUUACGACAAAACACAGCGCACCACCCCAAAGUCGCGAAGUUUCAUUUUCAAGUUGGAGUUAUAUGAUAAGUUAUUUAGGCUUUCAAAGGCAACAUCAAAGAUGGGAAUAAGGCUUAAGGAGCUUUAUGCUGUUCUAUUGUUGGCACUUUUGUCGAGCCCCCAAGCAGUGUUUGGGAUUAGAUUUGUGAUUGAUAGGGAAGAAUGCUUCUCUCAUGAUGUUAAAUAUGAGGGCGAUACAGUUCAUGUUUCUUUUGUUGUCAUCAAGGCUGAUUCAUCUUGGCAUUAUACCAAUGAUGGUGUUGAUCUUGUGGUAAAGGGACCUAAUGGUGAUCAAAUCCAGGAUAUUCGUGACAAGAUAAGUGAUAAGUUUGAGUUCAUGGCUCAUCAAAGAGGAGUCCACAGUUUUUGUUUCACUAACAAGUCUCCUUACCAUGAAACCAUUGACUUUGAUGUACAUGUUGGCCAUUUUUCAUACUAUGAUGAGCAUGCAAAAGAUGAGCAUUUUAAACCUUUGUUAGAUCAGAUUUGGAAGCUAGAGGAGGCUCUUUACAACAUUCAAUUUGAACAGCAUUGGCUGGAGGCUCAGACUGAACGUCAGGCAAUAGGUCUGUUCUGGAUCUUUCAUAUGCAGUAUUUUAAUUUGAGAUGAAUGUUCUUGCUGUUUGCUUUUUUCCUUUUUGAUUCAUUACACUAUACUAGUAACAACUUUUUUUCUUGAAUUUUGUAAGUAGGAAACUGAAACUUGACCUUGAACCUAGCUCAUGCUAAAUUCUCUUAGAAACUCUUCUAGCUCUUAAUUACGUGGAAGUUAAUACUUAAUAGUCAUGUACAAAUGAACUGGUGCUAUUCAAUAGUCAUGUUAAUUUUGCAUUGUCGGGUCAACUUGAACUUAAUUUUAGUGCAAAUGAAUCCUGGACAGAAGAUUUAUCCAACACUUUCAGCUAAAUGGGACGGUCAAAUUCUCAGGUUACUUGGCCAACUGUUAUUUUGAUCUGUUUAACUAGAAAUGCAUGUGAGUAACUUGUUUGAGAUAUUAAACUGAAAAGCCAAUACUGUUGUCCUGUGGCCAUUAUAUACAUGAUUGCUAAAUGACAAAUUCUAAUAGUCCAUUUGUUCAAUUCUCAACACUUUUCCAGUUUCCACCCUUUAAUUUAGUUGAAAGGAAAUACCACCAACGAAUAAGAUAAGCCCUGGAUUGUCAGCAUUACAUAAGAUUCUCUAAGCUUAUCUUUGGCCUAGUAGGCAAAUAAAUGUAGCCGCUCUUAUCAAUCUUUUCACUGAAAUUCUUUUUGGUUGUUGCUGCAGUAAAUGAAGCAAUGGGCCGCAGGGCUAUUCACAAAGCUUUAUAUGAAUCUGCAGCACUAAUUGGUGCUAGCGUUCUGCAAGUUUACCUUCUUCGCCGGCUGUUCGAACGGAAGCUUGGAAUGUCCAGAGUUUAAGCACUACUGCAGAAUA
rnacentral:misc_RNA from 1 species